CAGAUUAAAGCUUUUUAAGCAUUUUAUUUACACUAAAAAGAAUAUGAUUUUGUAUAAUCUGA
rnacentral:tRNA from 1 species